ensembl:lncRNA
GGCAUUAAUGCCAAAAUAACAUGCAAAACAGAAAACAGCAACAACAAUAUACAUAUAUAUAUAUAUAUUUAGCUAAACAGAUGGGACUCAAAACAGGUAGGACUCUGCCCCACCUGCCCUGAAUGAUGGGUAGCCACUGCACGUAUCACUGAUGACAGACAGACAAUAAUAAUAAUAAACUGGUUGAAUGGCACUAAUGGACAUUCGUGAAAGAAGAUAACUGAGUCUGAUGACCAGGCUACAGUGUGCAAUUCCCCAAGUCAACUCUUACAAAAGCGCUAUUCCCCGCUUGCAGAGUAAAAACACUGUGAUUUUUGGAGUAGGGGGUUCGUUCUCUGUUGAUUCCGUGUAGAGAGGUAGCAAGAAGAAAAACCAAGAGGAUUUCGCUCUUAAUGAAUGGAAAUACGGAUCGGCGCUGUACACGCAGCCAGAGUAAAGAGGCUGAGAUCGAAUGGAAGGAAAUAAGAAAUAAGUGGGGAUAGCUCAAGAUAAGGCAAAGCCAAGGGGGCACGCGAACCGGAGACGAAGCAAAACCGCUGCAAUUGACGAUCAACGGAUUACAACAUUAUUCCCGUUGCUGAGUCCGAUCCCAUCAACAUCUGCAGAGGCAUCAAGCUCAGCACCAGCAACUAGUACGAACCCUGCUGCUGUUGACCUUGACACCAGCGUUGGUAGUACAGAGCCUGUAGACUCAUUGGAUGAAAGCUUUCAGCCUGGAAUAAACUCAAUCAUCUGACUUUGAAACAAGCCAGAACAGCAAAAGGAGACUUUAAGCACAAACAAAUAAUCUGCAAGAGGUCGAAGCAUUGGGUGGUAAAGAAAGGGUACGAGAGGCUUGUCCACCUGGCUGUGGCGUGCAGAAAAGACCUGCCGGUUGUCUACAAGGAGCCUGAAUUAUAGCUCCCCAAACCCAAUAUCCCUGCCAACAGUGCCAAAGCCUGCUAAACCAGCUGCCAUUACUCAACACAAGAAAAGGUUCACCUCCUGAAGAGCAUUCUGGAACCUGCCUGGAACAUUCAAGCAACACAACAUCCAUAUUUUGUAGUAUAAUAUAGAAUGCCUAGUAUGCUCACAACUACAUUGUGGUAUAGAUAUUGCUAGUUGUUGUACAUACAGCAUAUAUAAGUAUACUGUCAAGUGGGUAAAUGAUUCCAGCUGUAUCAGAAAAGUGUUGACUUCAACUUCUGGGUCAAUUAAUUGUGAUAUUCAUGAAAUGUAUUUGGAUAAACUAGCGAAUGUCUUACUGCACAAAACAUGUAUGCCUGGACUUGGUGUAUCAUUUAAACUUUAAUUUGUUGGCAAGUAAACAUGUUUCAAUAAAACAGUAUAUUAGUCUGUCAAUAGUAAGUAGAUUAGUCUGUCAAUAGUAAGUAGAUUGACAGUAGAUUAGUCUGUCAAUAGUAAGUAGAUUGACAGUAGAUUAGUCUGUCAAUAGUAAGUAGAUUGACAGUAGAUUAGUCUGUCAAUAGUAAGUAGAUUGACAGUAGAUUAGUCUGUCAAUAGUAAGUAGAUUUA